CACUGCCACCGAAUUCGCUAAAGCGCCGCGUUGAGACGAAGUAUAUGUUUGUCGGAAUUUGCAUUUUUUCUGAACAUUUUUUUAUUUUAAUUUAAAUUUUAACAUUUUUAAAUAUAAUUUACAAUGGCGUUGAACCCACAAUAUGAUGACAUAGGAAAAGGUUUCGUCCAACAGUACUACGCUUUAUUUGACGACCCGGUGCAACGUGCAAAUGUAGUGAAUUUUUAUAGCGCAACUGAUUCAUUUAUGACUUUUGAGGGUGUUCAAAUUCAAGGAGCUCCUAAAAUUAUGGAAAAACUAUCUAGUUUGACGUUUCAAAAAAUUACUAGAGUUAUAACAGCUGUAGACUCCCAACCCACUUUUGAUGGCGGUGUGCUUAUUAAUGUUUUAGGACGCCUACAGACCGAUGAGGAUCAGCCACAUGCAUAUAUACAAACGUUUGUCCUUAAACCAAUUGGCGCAAGCUUCUUCGUACAACAUGAUAUUUUCAGAUUAUCAUUACAUGACGUAUAACAAAAUCUUUAGUUUGUUUUAAAACAAAUUUCAGGGUAAAAGAAAAUGCAAUAGGAACUCGAAAAUAAAUUUUAAAUAUUAAUAAUGUAUUCUGAAAAUAUCAAAGUAAUGUGCAAUCGAAGUAAAGGAAGUAGUUCUGUGAUGAGGAUCCUCCACAUGCUUAUUCACAGGUGUUCAUAUUAAAACCACUAGGAGGAACUUACUUUUGCGCACAUGAUAUUUUCCGUUUAAAUAUUCACAACACAGCUUAAACAUAUAAUAAGUGAAAAUAACAAUAAUAAAAAUAUUAAC